rnacentral:rRNA from 1 species
GAUGAACGCUAGCGGCAGGCUUAACACAUGCAAGUCGAGGGGUAGAGGAAGCUUGCUUCCUUGAGACCGGCGCACGGGUGCGUAACGCGUAUGCAACCUACCUUUUACAGAGGGAUAGCCCAGAGAAAUUUGGAUUAAUACCUCAUGGUAUAUAUCAUUCGCAUGUUUGAUAUAUUAAAGUUCCAACGGUAAAAGAUGGGCAUGCGUCCUAUUAGCUAGAUGGUAAGGUAACGACUUACCAUGGCAACGAUAGGUAGGGGUCCUGAGAGGGAGAUCCCCCACACUGGUACUGAGACACGGACCAGACUCCUACGGGAGGCAGCAGUGAGGAAUAUUGGACAAUGGGCGCAAGCCUGAUCCAGCCAUGCCGCGUGCAGGAAGAAGCAUCUAUGGUGUGUAAACUGCUUUUGUACGGGAAGAAACACUCCUUCGUGAAGGAGCUUGACGGUACCGUAAGAAUAAGGACCGGCUAAUUCCGUGCCAGCCGCCGCAGUAAUAC